rnacentral:tRNA from 1 species
GGUUCUCUAGUUUAGUGGUAGAAUGCGUAGUUUGGGACUAUGUGGCGAGUGUUCGAUUCACUCGAGAACCC